AAUUUUAGCAAAUACAGGUUAUAUUUUAUUAUUUUUAUAAUAACUUUAGUCUUUUUUAUUUUAUGUUUUAUUUAAAUAUUAAUUAAUCUAUUCCUUCGGUUAACCUACCAAUCGAAGGGAAAUAUUACUCUUUUGCCUAUUAAAACAUUCGUUCAUUAAGUUUUCCCUAAGCUAACUCAUCUUCUACCACUCCAAACUCAUAACCAUCAUUCUUUGAUAUGAAUAAUAUUCUGGACCAAUCAAAGACCCAAAUGAUUGAUGCCCAAUCCCUCUCGUGUAUU
rnacentral:lncRNA from 1 species